AUGACCUCAAUUAUUUGGACACUUUGAGAGGUUUGUUUUGGUAGACAUGUUCUAAAAUAGGCCCUCUUGUUUCCAAAUUCCUAUUGAAAGCUGCAAGGACAUAUCAUCUGACAUUAAAUGCCUAUAAAAACUCGAAGUAGGAAAAUGUAUUUAAGUUAGUCCGGCACGGAUAGAUACUUUAAACUGAGCAUUUGAAAAGUGACAGGUUCACUUUUAUUUUUGCUGUCAUAACAGUUAUUUGUGACA